rnacentral:rRNA from 1 species
CAGAGGUCUCGAGCGUUAGGCGGAAUCACUGGGCUUAAAGCGUGUGUAGGCGGAUCGGUAAGUACCUUGUGAAAUCCCACAGCUUAACUGUGGAACUGCUUGGUAUACUGCCAGUCUUGAGCCAGCUAGGGGCUACCGGAACAAAUGGUGGAGCGGUGAAAUGCGUAGAUAUCAUUUGGAACGCCAAUGGUGAAAACAGGUAGCUGGGGCUGUGCUGACGCUGAGACACGAAAGCCAGGGGAGCGAACGGGAUUAGAUACCCCGGUAGUCCUGGCCGUAAACGAUGUCGACUAGAUCGCAGUGCCUUCAACGGUAUUGCGGUCGAAGCAAAAGUGCUAAGUCGACCGCCUGGGAAGUACGGUCGCAAGGCUA